UACGAAGGGGGCUAGCGUUGUUCGGAAUUACUGGGCGUAAAGCGCGCGCAGGUGGUCUUUCAAGUCAGUGGUGAAAGCCCGGAGCUCAACUCCGGAAAUGCCAUUGAAACUGUGAGACUUGAGGACGAGAGAGGUGAGUGGAAUUCCCAGUGUAGAGGUGAAAUUCGUAGAUAUUGGGAAGAACACCGGUGGCGAAGGCGGCUCACUGGCCCGGUACUGACGCUGAGGUGCGAAAGCGUGGGGAGCAAACAGG
rnacentral:rRNA from 1 species